rnacentral:rRNA from 1 species
AUUGAACGCUGGCGGCAUGCCUUACACAUGCAAGUCGAACGGUAACAGGUCUUCGGAUGCUGACGAGUGGCGAACGGGUGAGUAAUAUAUCGGAACGUGCCCAGUCGUGGGGGAUAACGCAGCGAAAGCUGUGCUAAUACCGCAUACGAUCUGUGGAUGAAAGCGGGGGAUCGCAAGACCUCGCGCGAUUGGAGCGGCCGAUAUCAGAUUAGGUAGUUGGUGGGGUAAAGGCCCACCAAGCCAACGAUCUGUAGCGGGUCUGAGAGGACGACCAGCCACACUGGAACUGAGACACGGUCCAGACUCCUACGGGAGGCAGCAGUGGGGAAUUUUGGACGAUGGGCGCAAGCCUGAUUCAGCAAUGCCGCGUGCAGGAUGAAGGCCUUCGGGUUGUAAACUGCUUUUGUACGGAACGAAAAGGUCCUAGUUAAUACCUGGGGCCCAUGAUGGUACCGUAAGAAUAAGCACCGGCUAACUACGUGCCAGCCGCCGCUGUAAAAC